rnacentral:rRNA from 1 species
UUCCUACGGGAGGCAGCAGUUAAGAAUCUUGCUCAAUGGGCGAAAGCCUGAAGCAGCGACGCCGCGUGGACGAUGAAGGUCUUCGGAUUGUAAAGUCCACUAAGCAGGGAUGAAUAAGCAGCGGGUAAUAUUCGUUGCGAUGACUGUACCUGCCUAAAGCCUCGGCUAACUACGUGCCAGCAGCCGCGGUAAGACGUAUGAGGCAAGCGUUGUUCGGAAUUAUUGGGCGUAAAGGGCGUGUAGGCGGGGAGCUAAGUUAGAGGUGAAAUCCAUGGGCUUAACUCAUGAACUGCAUUUAAUACUGGCUCUCUUGAGUUCGGGAGAGGUAAGCGGAAUUCCCGGUGUAGCGGUGAAAUGCGUAGAUAUCGGGAAGAACACCAGUGGCGAAGGCGGCUUACUGGCCUAGAACUGACGCUAAGGCGCGAAAGCGUGGGGAGCGAACGGGAUUAGAUACCCCAGUAGUC